GGAGAAGCAGUUUGCUCAGUAGCAUUUGAGGGAAUGGGAAUAAGGAAGUUAUCCCAAGCCCCCCCCACAUAGAGCAAAAUACACUUUAUGAAUCUUAAAACCUUUUUCAAAAGCAGAGAGCCCAGCGCAGGGCAACAAAGAUGAUGAAGGGAGUGGAGCAUCUCCCGUAUGAGGAAAGGCUGAGGGAGCUGGGUCUCUUUAGCUUGGAGGAAACUGAGGGGUGACCUCAUUAAUGUUUACAAAUAUAUAAAGGGUAAGUGUCAGGAGGAUGGAGCCAGGCUCUUCUCGGUGACAACCUAUGAUAGGACAAGGGGUAAUGGGCUCAAACUGGAACACAAGAGAUUCCACUUAAAUUUGAGAAGCAAUUUUUCAGUGAGGGUGCCAGAGCACUGGAACAGGCUGCCCAGGGGGGUUGUGGAGUCUCCUUCUCUGGAGACAUUCAAAACCCGCCUGGAUGCCUUCCUGGGUAACCUCAUCCAUGUGUUCUGCUCCAGCAGGGGUAUUGGACUAGGUGAUCUUUCGAGGUCCCUUCCAAUCCCUAAAAUUCUGUGAUUCUGUGAAAGUAAAAAGAAAACUUAGCCUUCAAAGUGAUUGUGAGUCACCCCCCUUCAAAGCAUUUCCAUGGAUUUCUUGAAGUUUCUUUCCAGUGUGUAUUCCAAACGUUUUUGUGGGGACGAUAAAUUCUUCCUGUCUCACAUUUAAUUUUGGUCCAUCAAACUGGCUCGGUUUUUGGUUUUUCUUCUGGCACUAAAGGCUAAUUUGCCUGCUUUAAUUGAUUACAGACACUGCAUCUAGCAUGACAGGCACUACCCACUCAAUAAGGGGAUAUUGUCUUUCCUGACUCCUACUUGCCUUAAUUAAAAGCAGAGAGCUGACCUCAGCGCUGAACUCUGCCUUGUUCCUUGCUAAUACUUUAGCACAUCGCUUCACGCUAAGGUUUGGCAGAGCACGUGCAAGCUCCUGGCUCCCCAGCAUCGCUCGUUUGUUUGUUAUUGCGGAAGGGUGAGUUUCACUCCAUUGAUGGCAGGUUCAUCCUUGAUUUGGUGGGGCUGGGCCACCACUCAUUCUGCUCUUCACCUGUGGGGACACUGCAAGGGAAGAGACAGCAGGUGCACAGGGUGGUACCACUGGGUACAGCCACUGAAAACAGGAGCAGGUUUGGGCCAGAUGAACGUUUCCAUGGGUGUGUGCAUUUGCUAACCACACCACCUCAUGCAUCACCUCCUCCAGCUUGUGUGCUCUGCCCUCCAGAUGGGCAGAAAUUCAUUUUCAGGGAGGACCCAGGAUCUAACAGAUACUAGAGUUCUAUUAAAUAUACAACCUGGUUUCAGUUUUGGGCUCAAGUGUUUAAACUUUUAAGGUUUUGGUGGUGUUUUUUGGUUUUUGUUUGUGUUGUUGGGGGGGGUGGUGUCGUUUUUUUGUUUGGUUUGUUUUGUUUUAACCUGUGUCCUUUUAUGGCUAAAUCAGGCACUUUUCUGUGGGUGCUUAGGUCCCCAGCACUUGAACCUGCACAGGAUCUCUCUAGGUCAGCAACCUUCAAAAGUUUCUUUGUGAGCUGGGAAAGUGCAGCGAUAUCUACCCUGGAGUGGCCACAGUGAAAGUGGGACAAAUUAUGUCCCACAUUUUGGCAAUAAUCACCCGAGUACCCCAAACUGGGAUACAGGUGAUGGAUACAAACCAGGGGGCAGUGAGCAGCUGAAGCACAGCAGAUAGAAGAAAUGGGACGGGCUAUGGAGGGGUGGUGGUGAACGCUCCCCACUCCUGCGGAAAGGGAUGAGCUUUCCUUGUGUGAGCACUGGCUUAGGAAAAGCCACAUGGAAAUCAUCUGUCCAUAUGCUCUGUUUGUGCAGCAUGUUUUUGUUGUAAUUAUUUCUUCAGAGGUGGUAUGGAUCAGUGUGGUGGAAUACGUCUCUGCUAUGGACACCUUGUCUCUAAAUUAUGUCAGUAUUUUUCAAGUUUAAGUGCUGUGGCUUUUACAUAAUGUUCAGCAUUUUGUUUAGUCUUUGGCUCCUGGAGAGGGUGGGAUUGAAGAUCUCGGCUUUUCUUUAAAAGUUUUUGCUCUUUUGCUUCUGGAGAAAAAGUAACCAAGUGAUUUGCAUUUACCAGAAAAGAGAAAAUACAGAAGGCAAAUUUGACAUCUAGACUUCACAACCAUUUUGAAAACCCCAGAACACAACCUGAGAGGGUUAAUCUUUCAGGGCUUUUCUGGGAGAGGUUGAGGAGCUCCCUCAGGGCUUUCUGGUAUUGGGGCUGGCAAGGAAAAGCACAAGCCUUGGCUGCUGUUAGCAGCCUUCCACUGCUUUGCCAGAGAAGGUCAGUCACAAGAACACCCUCACCUUUUCACUGAUGUUUAACAUGAUGAUAAUGCCUGAAUCAAUUCCCGUAUCCCCUGCCCCAUAGAAGAUCUUUGGAACCCAGCUACUUGGAAGAAGGCACCUUUCCCAAGGUGCAAAGACACGCUAGUUCGAUGAAAGAAAUAAACCAAGCCAGCUGGAGCCAGGCACGCUCAGCUACUUCAAAUGCAGGGUGUUUGUAGUUUUCCUGUAUCCCAGUAUGGUUCGUACCUCUGGUCUGGUCAUAGAAUCAUAGAAUAGUUUGGGUUGGAAGGGACCUUCAAAGCUCAUCUCAUCCAACCCCCAUGCCAUGAGCAGGGACAUCUUCAACUAGAUCAGGUUGCUCAGGGCCCCAUCCAGCCUGGCCUGGAAUGUCUCCAGGGAUGGAACAUCUACCACCUCUCUGGGCAACCUGUCCUCAAGCCUUGACCCACCAAAAGUAUUUUAAUUUCACUACAGGCACCUAUACUGAAUAUUUAGGCUCUGCUGGCAUCACCAAAGACUUUCUUCGGGUCUUGCUUAACAAAAGUCAGGACCAGCCUAGCAGAUGCUCCCAUGGGUAUAUUACAGAAUCACAGACUGGUUAGGGUUGGAAGGGACCUCUGGAGAUCAUCUAGUCCAACCCACCUGCUAAAGCAGGUUCACCCAGAGCAGAUCACACAGGAAUGUGUCCAGGUGGGUUUUGAAUGUCUCCAGAGAAGGAGACUCCACAACCUCUCUGGGCAGCCUGUUCCAGUGCUCUGGCACCCUCAGAGUGAAGAAGUUUCUCCUCAUAUUCAGAUGGAACUUCCUGUGCUUCAGUCUGUGGCUGUUGCCCCUUAUCCUGUUGUUGGGCACCACUGAAAGGAGUCUGGUCCCAUCCUCUUGACACCCAUCCUUGAGAUAUUUAUAAACAUUGAUGAGAUCCCCUCUCAGCCUUCUCUUCUCCAGGCUGAACAGACCCUGUUCUCUCAGUCUCUCCUCAUGAGAAAGGUGCCCCUAAUCAUCUUUGUAGCCCAUCACUGGAUUCUCUCCAGUAAUUCCUUUUACUUCUUUUAUUUCAGGUUGUGGGGACCAGAGAGGAUAAUACUGGUGUUAUUAUCCAAGGGAUAGUAUUAUACAUAUUGACAGGGCUUAGAAUAGCCAGCUGGCAUGCAAGAAAAUCCCGGUUCAGAUCUCUAGGGGAGAUAGCACAAACAUAACCCAAAUUUUCCAUUGCGGUGCUGUGUGUGAUGAAUAUUUAAAGCAGAACCACUGCAGUGGCAGGCAGAAAGUUCCACUUUAGGUGUCUGACUUCUAAAAACUUAAGUUCCAUCUCUCUCCAACACCCAGUGAUGAAUUCAGUUGGUUUCCUGUUUAUCACGCUUGGCUAUGGCUGGAAAGCACCUGAGCUUCCCCUUAGAGAAGAGGUAAGAGCCAUGUUUGGCAUGGAUCUGCCAAAAGCGACCCUGGGAGGACUACUGUGAAAGUCAACAAAGAUGCUGACCCCAGCAAGAAAUCUUUCUGCAACCCAUCUUUUCUGUCACCCCACAAAGGAAAAUGCUUAAUCUCUGCAUCUGCCCAACAAAAAAGCUUUCUGCUUUGGCUGCAGCAGAUAUGCAGUGGCGCAAGUCAAAGGAUACAGGAGAAACCUUCUCUGUGGGUUGUUUAGGAUGGGUCACAGUAGCUCCAGUCCCAGAACAUCUUAUCACAUGGCACAACCUGCUGUGCUGGGUGUCAUGCAACAGAGCUAGAAUUUCUGUCUCCCUUCUGGGGUUUACACCAUCCCUGGCAAGAACAUCACAGCUGCAGAUAACAAACAAGCAAGGCCAUCAGCUUUGAUGUUUUCUGCUUGGUUCUCACCCUUCCCUCACCCAGCUCCCCAGCUCUGAACUUUUAACCCUGAACUUGUCCCAGAUCCUGAGCCUCUACAGCAGACAAGUCAAAGGCAGUAAAUCCACUUUUCAGACAAUGGUGUCUAUUGAGCUGUUCCCCUUGGUGCUUCGCUGCAAUUCACUUUCUGUCCACCUGCUGCUUUUCUGUCUACUCAACUGUGUGUAUUGGUAGUAGUAGCACACUACUCACCCGUGGGAAGGACAGAAAGGAGAAGCAGCUUAAAAAGAAGGAGACCAAGUGAUGUGGUGAUAAGAUGAAAGAAUGCCUCCAUGUAUCUCAGCAGUUUGGCAGGGGGGAGGUUGGUUGGUUGGUUGUUUUUUGCUUUGUGGGGUUUUUUUUGUUUCUUUUGUUUUGGGUUGUUUUGAGAAAUACUGGAUUUGCCGGCAUUUCCUGAAAGCUGAAAAAAUUCCAUCCCUCUGACAACAUGCAAAGGGAAGUAACGGACAGGUAAAAUGUUUGGUUUGGCGUGAAGGUUCCGCGCUGUUUUCUGCUAUUUCUGUUUACUCACUGGAGCAAGGGGCACUGCAGCCAUGAGCCAGGGCAGAGCUCCUCUGUGCAACAUGUGUGCACGUCGGAUCUUCUUACCUGACAUUUUUAGGUCCCAGGUGCCAACACAGGCUGCCCCAGUGGACUGACUGACUCCCUUUAAAUAGCUGCAGGACGGGCCUAGUGUCCUUUAAAAAUAAAACCCAGCACGACCUGCACAGAGCUAAACUCUUGUCAUUGCAGCCUUAGCACACGGUGAAAUCAGCUCAUGUUAAUAUUAAGAUUGCUGAUAUGAGAAAUAGCGUGAUGCUUCCUUGGGUCAAUAUACAAUAUGAAAUAUCCCAAGAAACAUUUCUUGUUUUAACAGUAAACCUCCCUAUAUUUUACAGUAACACCCCAAAUUGGCACCGAAGGUUCCUACAGCUAAACACAAGCAAAGAUGUCAUGUGAGAGAGUAACAAGAAAUGAAGGCAUGGCCAGUCACUCUCACAACAUCCCUUCUGCUUCCAUACACACCCAAAACACACACAUUUAGCUGCUGCUACUUUAGUCACUACAGAUUAAAAGAAGACAGCAAGACGAAGACUGGUUAAGCCAGUAGUACAGCCUUGUUAAUUCAUGCCAGGCAGCAGCAGUGGCAACAGCUUGGUGCUGAGCCUUGCUGAUUGCUCUUAGAAUAAACCAAAGCCAUCAUUCCAGCAAGGAGGUUACCACAGAUCCCGGCCAUAAAAGGAGUAGAUUGCUCUUAAAAUCUGAUGUGGAUGACAAAUGUAAGAAUGGCUAAAUAAGAAACAGCUCCCUUGGCUGAUUUCCUAUGCUGGCCCCUACUGCUACUGAAAAAAAACCCUCUCAACAACCCAGAGAAAAAUAAAAAACAGCUGAAUAUCUUUUCUUGGAUGGCUCGUUCUCACAUUCCCAUUCAAGACAGUCUGUUUUGCUGUUGACUCCGCUCUUGGCAUGAAACUGGCCCUGAGGUACCAAACUGGGGGUGAGGGAGAACUGUGGGUUUAGGGCCGCUAAACCUUCAGCUGGAAAACCGCACUCACAAACACAGAAUUUGCACCUCUCUAAAUAGCAGACUGUUAUUCAAGCAGAGACAAUUUCAAAAGUGACUUCCAUAAGCUAGCGACCAACUAAUGGCAAACUGGCGUACGCUAGCAGACCAAGUCUAGUCUUAGUGUAAUUAAAAUGGAAUCAGAUCUAGUUCUUCAGAGGCAAGGCCUACCUAACAAGCCUGCUUUAGAAACCAAUCAAAUUUGUAAUAAAGCAGCAGCCUACAGUGUGUGGGAGGGUAGAACUUCUCACUUCUUUUUCUAUUUUUUCCAUAGGAAAAAGUUGUUGGAGAGAGAUGGAAGGAGAUUAACAACAUUUUGAACUUCCGGCUAAUCCUGAGCAAAGAGGAAGAAGACUUCACUUUAGAGGGAUGUCUAGCACAAAACCUUCUUGUGUCUUUGAUGCUGUUGUAUUAAGCAGACAUGAAUAUGGGGAGAACUCGCCAACCAGACUGGCUGUAUCCACUUCGUGUAACGACCGUCCUUGGUCCGUUUGCCACCCGCUUCCCUGGAGCCAGGGAAAUGAGAAGAAGAAACAGGAGGGAUCAGCUGUGAUGCAGUGACCCUAAAAGGUCUCUUCUGCAGAGCCCAGGUAACCCCAGACAAGUUCCACCACCAUUUCUUCCAUGGGGAGAUUCAUCUCCCUGCCUCACCAACAACCCUGGGAUUUACCUCCGGAAGGCUCAGGGACCUUGACCAAGUGGAGGCAAUGUCAGUGCUGACCCUGCUGUUUGGCUCAGUUCCCCACCACGAACACUCUGGGCAGUGCUAGCAAACCCCAGGGAAGCACAGGUCGCUGAAGAUGGCUCUGCAGCAAGUGGCCUCUGAAGGGCUGAACAAAGCAGAAAGGAGAAGUCAAAGAGGCGUCUCCCAAAAAAAUGGUUGUUAAUCCCAGCUAUUCAGGCCUGGUCUGGUGCUUCUCUUUCAGCCAGCGGAGACAGAAAUAUGGUACGUUGCCUGGAUUGCCAGUUCUGAAUAAAACACCUUAUUUUUGAGGCAGUGGUGGAGAAAGGCACUAACAAUAAAAGCACUGCUUUUUACCUUACUGGCUCAUCCCAGGUGUGGGUCCUUCCCUGCAGCCCUGCUCUCACCUACAGAGGAACAGACUGGUGCCUGUGGUAGGGGAGGCUCCUGUGCAAGGGGAAGCAAUGGCCAAGAUUCCUCUCCUGGAUCUUCAAGCUACAUCCUUUCCUCUAGGUGGUUGGCCCUAAUUUACUGAUAGUUCUCAUGGAGGGAAGCAGAACCAUCACGGGUCUCCCGGUUUCAUUACUCUGUAAGCAACACACUUCCCUGAGGAACUGUUUUGUACAUAUUGAGUCAGUCAUUCUCAUAAAACCCUUAAUGGAUAGGUGUUGUCUGUGCAAGAGAGGCUGAACUGUUUUAAACUGUACAGAUGCUGUAGAAAACUGGAUUUACAGACAAGCCCACCAGGAAGGACCUCUCCAUGUGGUACCACAAUACAGUUGCCUCUAGGAUGGAAAGCAAUAAUUUGCAAACUGAAGGAUUAUGCGCCCCUUAUUUAAUCUUAACUAAAUAGGAUAGAACAUAAUUAGCGAAGGCAGGGUUACACUAGAAUGCUGAGGAAAACAUCCCUAGUGGCAACAGAUUUUUCAUGAGCACUGUUGUGCAACAAAUUCAACACAUGCUAUAUAAAAAGGUUAUGCUGAUGCAUGUCUUUCAGAAGAAAAGGUGUCUGCUAGUCUGCAGCUGUCCAGAAGUAUUUCCCAUAUUCAAAGCUGAGAGGCUGCCAAAGACUCAGUGUCUAGAAGAAAAGUGAUGCACCGCUUGGCUUUUAGCACCAGCAGAAAUUAUAAGGAAUGUAUUUAUGGUCUCCAGUACACUGAAUUGGCUGCCACUGUGCAGCAAAGAUCUGGGAGCAAAAAGGGAAGAACUGGUUACUGAUGAUUUUGGGAGAGCAUGUCACCUGCUGAAUCACCUCCACCAUUUAUUGCUUAGGUUAGAGUUUCUUUCGGUGGUAAAUGAAGGAAUUUUACCAGCAUGAGGUGACCGCCUAACUUGGACUGGGUGGAUCUGUAAGAACCAGGUGGUAAGGAUGGAAGUCUACAUGAAUUCACUGGGGUAGUCCCAAAUUUUAAAUUCAGCCCUCCAUGACUAACUGUAGGGUGGUUAGCAGAUGCUCUCUUCAGCUAGAUGUGUCAAUCUCUUCUUUCAAAAGCAUACAGCCAACAGUGGCAAAGCUUGUAUGGUAGCUCCCAAAAUCCCGGGGCAGUUCCCUCCUUUUUUGACAACACAGCUAAACCUGAAAGUGCCUUGCUUGGUUUAUAAAUUGCCUAUGAUAAAUAUAGCUGCUUAAUCCAUAUACAAAUAAAAUUCAGAGAUUCUCAUGCUGGAUUAUAGACAGCGAAACAUUAUAAAAGAGAAACCAAGUUCAGAAAAGAAAAGGAGUUUUUAUUACCUUCCA